rnacentral:rRNA from 1 species
CCUACGGGUGGCAGCAGUGAGGAAUAUUGGUCAAUGGACGAGAGUCUGAACCAGCCAAGUAGCGUGAAGGAUGACUGCCCUAUGGGUUGUAAACUUCUUUUAUAUGGGAAUAAAAUGUUCCACGUGUGGGAUUUUGUAUGUACCAUAUGAAUAAGGAUCGGCUAACUCCGUGCCAGCAGCCGCGGUAAUACGGAGGAUCCGAGCGUUAUCCGGAUUUAUUGGGUUUAAAGGGAGCGUAGGUGGAUUGUUAAGUCAGUUGUGAAAGUUUGCGGCUCAACCGUAAAAUUGCAGUUGAAACUGGCAGUCUUGAGUACAGUAGAGGUGUGCGGAAUUCGUGGUGGAGCGGUGAAAUGCUUAGAUAUCACGAAGAACGCCGAUUGCGAAGGCAGUUCACUGGACUGCAACUGACACUGAGGCUCGAAAGUGUGGGUAUCAAACAGGAUUAGAUACCCCAGUAGUC